rnacentral:snoRNA from 1 species
UGGCCGGUGAUGAAAAACUCAUCAAAAAUACCAUCUUUCGGGACUGAUUGGCCCCCAGUGGCAAUGCUGCUAUUCUGCAAUUCUGAGGCCA